UCCAUCACACGUAUACAUAUAUAUAUAUAUAUAUGUAUAUAUUGCGAGAUCGAAAGGACAUUUCGACAAAUCGCAGCGCGACGCGGCAGCGGCACAGACAGCCCCAGCCUGCCGCCCAUCGAGCGCGCCACGCCCACGCAGCUUAGUCGAGAAAUUAAGCCAACUUUUUCAAGAAUCGUUUUCAUCUGCGCCUCGUGACAUCCUUGAAGGACUGCGGCACCUGUUUUGCUGCUGUGGGCGUGUUUCUCUAUCUCUCUUUCUUUAAUUGGCCCCAUUGCCCAAGAAUCAAUUGAAAUUUAUGAUGAAAAUGUUUAAAAUGUAAUGAAAACGUGCAAGGAAAAGCCCUUGUCAGGGCUGCCAAAUUCCUGGGCAAAGAGAAUGAAAUUGGAAAAAAUAAGAAAAAAUGA